AGGUUACGUCAGCGGCGGACGGCAAGGCGGGGAGAGGGGCAGCCCGCUCGCGGCCCUCCCGCCUGGCUCUCGCCUCGGCCUGCGGCCGGGAUCCUCCGCCCGGGUCGCGCAGCGGAGGCCGAGGGCUGGGACGGGCGGCUGGGAAGUGGGAAAGGGAGCUCCUUUUGUCUUCUCUUCCCAUCCCCCAGGUUUGGGAAAGUUUUCCUUUUGGGAAAGCCCCUCUCUUCAGCCUGCUGGCGGGUGUCGGAUUGGUUAGCGACCACCGGCCCCCGCCUCCCCCAACAGGAUUCUCCUUUGGGCCACAGGUCUUCCGGAAGUUGCCAAACCCCGGUAGCGGCAGCGUCCGGCUGGGGGCUUUAUUAGGGGGCACCGGGGUCUGCUUUCCGACUCCCUUCCGACUCCGCGCCUGCGCAGGAAGCGAUUUGGGGAGUGUUGUGAAUUCCGAGGGCUCCACACUUAAGAGGUUGUACACUCACCUGUCUACCUGGACUCCAAUUUCCAUAUUUCCAGCCACUUGAGGACUGAGAGGUGGAUGAUAAACCCUGUCAUAGUGGAGCAAGUUCAGGUGUUUAACCGCUGUUAUGGGGGAUCUGCCUUUUCUCCCUCUUCUUUCUUACUUCCAUAAGUAUGUAUGUGCAGAGAUUGAAAAAUAACCUUGAGAGAGUCCAUCCAUCUAACUCCAGUUCAUUGGAAAUUUCUGCUUCUUUGAGACUGAGGUUAUAUUCCACUUCUUCUGACUACACCACCACCAUCAAUCUCCUUCUCUGAACUCUUGGAUCAUUACUUCAACCUGAAACAACUCAUCAGGCAGAAUAGUUGCCUACUGCCCCAACCCCACCAAAUGUUCCAGCACCUCUGAUAUUACCUCACAUGGCAAGAGGGCUUUGAAGAUGUGAUUGAGUCAAGGAUCUUGAAUGGGGAGAUUAUCCUGAAUUAUUCAGCUGGACCCAGUGUAAUCACAAAGGUUUUUCAAAGAUGGAAGAGAGGCAGAAGAGCCAGAAAAGGAUAUGUGACAAUGGAGUCAGUGUCAGAGUUGGAGUGACGUGAUGUGAGAAGGAUUCAACCUGCUGUUUCUGGCUUUGAGGAUGAAAGAAGGGGCCAUGAGCCAAGCAAUACAGGUGGCUUCUUUCAAGAAGUUGGAAAAGUGGUAAUAUUUUAUGUUAUUUUGGUUUGAUUUUUGUUUGUGGCAUAUGGCUCUGCUGUCCUGUGACUCUAAGUAGAAGAGAAAAUAGUGCCAAUAAUUCUUCAUGGAGAUGCACCUCUCUCAAGUCUUGAACAAUGUUUGAGGUAGGUGGUGGCCUAAAUGAAUGAGCAUGUCAUGUGUGAUUACUUAGUGAGUGUAGUUUUGUAAGGCGCACCAAGGAACUGGUAAUUAACUGCUAGGCAUGAGAUUACCCCAAGAUUCUACAAACCCACCUAAGCGUUGUUAUAUUUGUGAAAAGAUUAGAGGAGCUGAACUGUGUAUCUUCUUGGUCUCCAGUGGGCAGAUACAAGGGGAUUGCAGCAAAGAUUGGGGAAGUGGCCUCCAAGUAUGCAUGUGGAUGUCCUCUGCUCCUCUGAAACAUGACGGAUGGC
rnacentral:lncRNA from 1 species